CAUGACCUGAGCUGAAGUCAAGAGCCAGACACUCAACCAACUGAGCCACCCAGGCACCCCUUGCCUAUUUUUAUAUGUUAAAAUUUGCAUAUCCUUCUUUAUUAAGUUUUGUUCCAAUUACUUACUUGUCUUAGCUUGCCAAUAUUUUGCUCAAGUCUCUUCUUAUUGGUGGGAUUCUGAUUUUUUGCUAUGUCAUUUGUUAUUAGUAUCUAUUGCUGUUAUUUUUUUAUUAACAUUCAGAAAUGUUUCAUAUAUUCAUUGCAAAAUUAUGAAUUUACUAAACACCAUAAUUCUGCAACAUGCCAGACAAUUCAAAUCUACAGAGAGGAGCACCAUUGCCCCUCAUGUACCCAUCACCUUAGCUUUAAUAGUUCUUCACUCAAGGUAAGUACCGUUCCAUUUAUACACUUCUACCAGCACUCCACCUGCUUUCCCUGCAUUAUUUUGAAGGAAAUAAUAAAAUAAAACGGCCAAAUUUUCUUCUUUUUCCAUGCUUUCAAACAGGUUAACACUAAGAUUAUCUAACCUUUAAAAGUUUGUCAGAAUUCCCCUCAAAACCAUCUGGGUCUAGUGCUUUUUGGUUGUUGUUGUUAGCCAUGUCUCCUAUUUCUUCUUUGGUAAUUGUUCUGAGGUCAAAUUUGGUGGGCUGCACUUUUUCUAAAAGACCAUGUGUUUCAUCUAGUUUUUCAAACAUAUACAAAUAAUAUUAUAAAGCAUGUUUCUUUUGAUUUUAAGAAGUCCUCUAUUUUAUGGUUAAUUCCCUUUAUAUAUUUCAAUAUUAUAAACUUGUUCUUCUGCUUCUUAAAAGCCACUAUUGUGAAUGAAAAGAUAAUAAGCUUUAGACCAGGAGAAACAUUUGUAAGCAAUAUAUAUGAUGCAUUCAAAUAUGCACAUAACUAUGAAAACUAUAAUAAAACAAGCAGUCUAGUAAGAAAAAAUGAACAAAAAUUUUAGACAGGUCCACAAAAAAUAUAUGUGAAUAUCAAAUAAGCACACUAAAAGAGUCUCCAUAUCAUUAGUCAUCAAGAAUCAGAGUGGUGCAUGGAUGCCUGGGUCAGUUGAGUGUCCGACUCUUGAUUUUGGCUUAGGUCAUGGUGCCAUGACCCUCACACUCAUGUCCUUCAGUUGGUGGAUGGAUUUUUUUUUUUAAAUGCGGCAAAUAUAAUGAAAUAAUAUAAUGAAAUUAAUGAAAUACUUCUUAGGGAUUCAAAACAAAUGAACAAUUGACACAUACCAGAAGGAUGAAUCUCAGAUAUGCUUUGAUAGGUAAAAGAAGCCAGACUUAAAAAGCUAUGUGCUGAUAAUUCUGUUUGUAUGAUGAUCUGGAAUAGAUACACUUACAAGGAAGGAGACGACAUCAUUGGUGACCAGGUUAGGGGACUGGGAGAAGAGGUGACUAUGUGAGGAGCUCAAGGGGGGAUGAUGGAAUGUUCUGUAUCCUGAUUGUCAUAGUACUUGCACAACUCGAUGCACUUGUCAAGAGUCAUAAAACCAUGCAUCAGUAAGAGAUUAUAUUCACUGUAUGCAUAUAUAAAAAUAAGAAUAAAGUGGAUAGGUAUCAGGAUGGUAUAAAGGUAAAAACAAAUUCAAGGAAAACAAAAUAAAUACAUCAGAUAUCCCAUUUUUUGCUACAAAAUUGUUCUUACUCCUUCACACCCCUCUGUGUGCCAGCAGGCUGACCUUUUUAGGCAACAUCAACAUACUCCCUUUCCAAUAGUCUUUUGGUGGGCACAGCCACAUGGGACCCCCCAUCAUGAGAUCAGAGGGGUGAGGAAGGCAAUGUUAGGGUAUUGAUUCUCCUGGCUCCUUCCCUGUGGGACUGCCUCAGGCUGGCUGUGAUCUUCCACAAAUUACAAAAAUUCUUUUGGUCAUCCUAGCAACAUGAAUCUCCCCUUUCACUUUCCGGCAUUCACUUCUUCCUCUGAUCAUUUUUGAUCUAGCCAAGGUAACAAUUCCCACUGAUACUAGCCCUAGGGGAUUACCUCACAGAGGUAAGAGGUUUCCUUACCUCUAUCCAUACUUCUGUAAACAUUCUUCUAUUAAAACCUUUCAAAUCAUCCAAUUUAAAUUUGCCAUCCGUUCCAUGCAGAGAUCCUAACUAAUAAUAUAGUGAAUUAAGACUCACGAGAAUAAAUGUUCUGGGGACAGCAAGGAGGCCAGCUUCACUGGAUUAAGAAGCUAAAAUUUGAAUAACUGAGAAAUAAGGUAAAAUGCACAGAGUGAGGCCAUAAUCAGCAAGGUCACAAGAUCUAAAACUAGGUUACUCUUAAUUAUGUGGGGAAAAAUGAAACCAUUGGAAACUUCUGAACAGCAAAUUCAUAUUAUUAAAGUAAUACUUAAUAAAGAUCAGCUGUAUGCAAGAUGGAUUGGAGUGGAAAACAUGGAGUUUGGACGAACAAUUAAAAGAAUGAUAUAUGACACGUAAGGCGAAGGAAGCUACACAAUCAUUAUGCAGUGGAAAUGACAAGCAUAGAAAAUUAGACCUUGGAAAGUAAGUGGAUACAGGACAAGAAAGAAUAAGAGGAGCCAAAGAUGACUUUGCAGUCAAAGUCUGGGUGACUGGAAGAAUAAUGACGUUAUUAAAGGGUGACAUUUGUUGGGAGUACAGACUGAUUUGCAAAGGAAGAUGAUGCUUUAGAGGAAAAUCUCAAGUUGUUAACCCCCAUUGAGAACGAGCAAAUGGCUCAAUGUGAAGAAUUUAUGGAGUCUGAUUCCACAGACCACUGGGAAGAGAGGCUCCAAUCCCAGGAACAAGUUCACAGGUCUUCAGAGAAAGAGGAACCAUACUCAAGGAGCCAUUCUUGAGGAACUUCAUCUAAACCUGGUCCUAAUCGUAGAUAACUAGAUUGUGGACUUUGAGAUGAUGCCAUAAUGGGAUGAAACUGUGGUCAUCUAGCAAGAGUUGAAGACACCACAUGGAGAAGAUCUAAGACUACAUGGAGAAGACAAAGAGCCCCGCUGAGGUCAGCUUUCCAGACAUCCCCCUCCAAUUCGCAGGCAUAUGUGAUGCCUGUAGAUGCAGCAGACAUCUUGCAACAAUGAAGCAACCAGCAUGAAAAUAAGAAGCCAACACACCAAGGAUGACAAAAAAAAAAAAAAAAAAAAAAAAAAAAAAAGGAAAGAAAGAUCUGGGUCAUUGAUGACGUUGUUGAGCUUUCAAAUUGGCUGUCAGACCUCUUGUCAAGGACAUAAUAAACAUUCUUACUUAAGCCGCUGUUGGGACAGGCUUUCGGAUACUUACAGAGGAAUAAAAUGCUAACUGAUGUAGUUAUUUUUCAUUUCAUUAAAUACAUAAUGUAAUUGAUUAUAAGUUAUAUCAUUAUUUAAUUAGAUCAUUAUUUAAUAUACUGCUGAGCAAGAAAAUAAGCAGCAAGUUGCACAAAAUGAAAUGCCUCCUACCACUUAUCAUUUUUAUUUUAUAUUUCUGGA